UCAGACUCAGCUCUGUGAUGGCUCUCUAGCCGGUGGAAAGGCAAACCAGUUCUUAGAACGUUCGCCAGUGGAACCACUUUGAACCAGCACCAGCACUAGCUCUGAACCAGCACUCGGUUCUUUUAGGUGGUAAAGAGGCAUAUGUGUGCUUUCUUGAGCAGGAGGACCAUGCAGGUGCUGUAGGAUUUCACAGUGUUACCAAUUGUUUUUUUGAUGACUAUGGUCCCAGCUGCAUUGACAAGAUCCUCCUGUGUAGUCCUGGGCUGAUUCUUCACCAUUCUCAAGAUCUUGCAUGGAGCCAGAGACUAAGGGAGAUUGACAGUUAUUUUGUGUUUCUUCCAUUUUUGCGAUGAAUCGCACCAAUUGUUGUCACCUUCAGAGCGGUGCUAAAGAAAAAACUCAAUAAAACAAACAAAUCAACUAAAUCUCAGCUAAUAGAAAGAAGACUGAAGCCCAUCUAACUGGCGGGGGCCCACCACCUCCCCUCACCCCAUCUGAGGAGCUGGCUCUGUCCCUUAAUAAUCUGUCCCUCGCACACACCAUGCACCACAAGUGAUGGUGAAAAAAUGGUGAAAUGCAAGACGGACUGCGACAACGUGAUCAUCGGAGACUCCAUCGUCCGCCACGUCCGUGC